rnacentral:rRNA from 1 species
GUUCAGAAUCUUGCACAAUGGACGAAAGUCUGAUGCAGCCAUGCCGCGUGUGCGAAGAAGGCCUUCGGGUCGUAAAGCACUGUCAGAGGGAAAGAUCAUGACGGUACCCUCAAAGGAAGCCACGGCUAAUUACGUGCCAGCAGCCGCGGUAAUACGUAAGUGGCGAGCGUUAUCCGGAAUUACUGGGCGUAAAGCGUUCGUAGGCGGUGCAGUAAGUUGGGUUUGAAAGCCCGGGGCUCAACUCCGGAUCCGGAUCCAAAACUAUUGUACUUGAGCGUAUCAGGGGGCAGCGGAAUUCCCGGUGUAGCGGUAAUAUGCGUAGAUAUCGGGAGGAACACCAGUGGCGAAGGCGGCUGCCUGGGGUAUUGCUGACGCUGAGGAACGAAGGCCAGGGGAGCGAACGGGAUUAGAUACCCGAGUAGUCC